rnacentral:rRNA from 1 species
UACAUGGGGUGCAAACGUUGCUCGGAAUUAUUGGGCGUAAAGCGCACGUAGGCGGUUCGUUAAGUCGGAUGUGAAAGCCCUCGGCUCAACUGAGGAAGUGCACCCGAAACUGGCGAGCUUGAGUACGAAAGAGGAUCGCGGAAUUCCCGGUGUAGAGGUGAAAUUCGUAGAUAUCGGGAGGAACACCGGUGGCGAAGGCGGCGAUCUGGGUCGAUACUGACGCUGAGGUGCGAAAGCGUGGGGAGCAAACAGGGAUUAAGAUACCCGUAGUC